CCUGAAUGGAGCAUUUGAGCUUUACCACAUUGAUCGUUAAUAAUGGGGAGUGAUUAGGCAUACACUGAGUAAACGAUAAUAUACGAAGAAAGAAAGUCUUACACAUCUGGGAUUGCAUGAGGUUUCUGACUUCUUUUUGGCUUUGGGCGAAGAAUGAAGAACUUCACCUAGAGUAUGCAGAGGCCUUAAGUGUGAGUAAAUGAUGAGAAAAUUUAGCUUUUUGGGUGAACUCUCCCUUUAAGAAAACCACCUCCAAUACAAAAACUUUCAACCUAACGAUCACUACAAGAAAUAGCCUUGUGAGCCUACUAAAGGGAAAACAAAAACCUUCUAGUGAGUUAAAUAAAGUAUUUUCAAUAUUUUUUUUUCUUCACAUUCUGACCAGUAAUGAAAAAAAAUUAUUGACCUGAAUUAUAGUUGGUUGAAAAGCAUUGUGUCCUAUGUAAUACUGUGAUGAUUCAAAAUACCCAAACAAGAUGUUUUUAUGCUUAAUGACAAUGAAGGGUAGGGAUUUCAUUUUUAACAGGCUGAAAACUAGAAAAAUCAGAUCUGAACCUGACUCCUCCAAACUAUGGUCUACCAAUUAGUUGAGAAGACUAUCAAUUAAGAACGUACUUUUUGAUUCAAUUGGUUUUGAAUAAAUUGUGCGUUUUGUUUUUAUGUAUGUACACUGCCAGCCAAAAGUUUGG